rnacentral:rRNA from 1 species
GUAGGGAAUCUUCCACAAUGGGCGCAAGCCUGAUGGAGCAACACCGCGUGAGUGAAGAAGGGUUUCGGCUCGUAAAGCUCUGUUGUUGGAGAAGAACGUGCGUGAGAGUAACUGUUCACGCAGUGACGGUAUCCAACCAGAAAGUCACGGCUAACUACGUGCCAGCAGCCGCGGUAAUACGUAGGUGGCAAGCGUUAUCCGGAUUUAUUGGGCGUAAAGCGAGCGCAGGCGGUUGCUUAGGUCUGAUGUGAAAGCCUUCGGCUUAACCGAAGAAGUGCAUCGGAAACCGGGCGACUUGAGUGCAGAAGAGGACAGUGGAACUCCAUGUGUAGCGGUGGAAUGCGUAGAUAUAUGGAAGAACACCAGUGGCGAAGGCGGCUGUCUGGUCUGCAACUGACGCUGAGGCUCGAAAGCAUGGGUAGCGAACAGGAUUAGAAACCCUAGUAGUCC